AACGAACGCUGGCGGCAUGCCUAACACAUGCAAGUCGAACGAGACCUUCGGGUCUAGUGGCGCACGGGUGCGUAACGCGUGGGAACCUGCCCUUAGGUUCGGAAUAACUCCCCGAAAGGGGUGCUAAUACCGGAUAAUGUCUUCGGACCAAAGAUUUAUCGCCUUUGGAUGGGCCCGCGUUGGAUUAGCUAGUUGGUAGGGUAAAAGCCUACCAAGGCGACGAUCCAUGGCUGGUCUGAGAGGAUGAUCAGCCACACUGGGACUGAGACACGGCCCAGACUCCUACGGGAGGCAGCAGUGGGGAAUAUUGGACAAUGGGCGAAAGCCUGAUCCAGCAAUGCCGCGUGAGUGAUGAAGGCCUUAGGGUUGUAAAGCUCUUUUACCCGGGAUGAUAAUGACAGUACAGGGAGAAUAAGCUCCGGCUAACUCCGUG
rnacentral:rRNA from 1 species